UUCAAGUACAUUCUACUUGGAAGUACAUCUACUUGUAAUCAGAGUUCAGAGAUGUGUACUUCAUCUACUGUAAACCCAUGUUAGAACAUGUGAACUGGGGAAACUGUGCUUAGUAUCCAUGGUAUAUUGCGGUGGGCUGGACUGGCCGCAUGAGCCUCAAGCCUGGCUCACAUAUACCUCCACUUCAAAAAUACCUCACAAUGUCAAACGGCUGAAAGUCUAAUUUUUAAAGCAUGGCCUGCUGGGAUGCAUCGCAGUGCAUGUCUGUAGGCCAUCUGUACAGCUUGUGCGAUUAUAUCAUCAGUUGCGGAGAUGCUUUGUAUGGAGUGGCAGAGGCGUGGCGUAGCAAUGCACAAACUGGUUUGCCACGCAAGCGAAUCCGCCAACUCGCGCUGUAUACUCUUAAAGGGGAACUCCACGAAAAAAUGAAACUUUGAUAGCCUGUAGAGUUUCGGGCGCUGAGUCGAAUGGUCUUGGUCCGAAGUCUCUACGACGAAGCGUUCUUGAGAUAUUUCACUUUGAAAUUGCAAAAACGGGGGCCGCGCCCUGACGUCAUGCGGCCAUUUGGUUACAUCAUCACGGGCUGCCUACGUCAUUGUGGCAAAGUCGUUUCUCUUCGCCAGUCUACAAGCACUAAUUUUAGUUGGUAUUUCAAGGGAAGAUGGGCGAUUCCGAACAAUCCUCUGUCCCCAGCAAUGAAGGCAGCGAUGCUGAGGCCAGUGAGGACGACCAACAGCCCACCGCCGCGUAUGGUUGGGGCAGGGAGCCCAGAUACUCUGCUGAGGAGCUGCCAUCGCGUGUAACAAAUGUGGAGGAAGAAGAUGCGUCAGCAGCUGCGUCCGACAGAAGACGAGUAGCUUGGCCACCAGAAUCUCGAUUCGUUUGGGACUCCGACUGGUGCGAGCGUGGACAAAAGUGUAUAGCCAUGCCCAGCCCGCGGGAAUGAUUUUGCUGGUAGGAUGCUGCCGUCGCUGUCGACAAGACGGCCCAAGGUUUCUUGCGUAGCGGACCUCGCAGAUUACGAGAUCGUAUCCUUGCAUUAGGCUGUGCUCAUCACUGCUCUUCGAGGUUAUCUCGACAUGCAGAAGCCGCCAAUGCCAGUGACAGAAGAGUCUGACAUUAGAUCUCUACGCUAUGCGGCACACAGGCAGUACACACUAUGUACACGGCAAAUUGGGCAAGCACGUUCGUUGUCGUCUUCCAGCCUGCGUUGUGAAUACCAUCAGGCAAAGAUAUCCAAAUCCUGCACCACCUCAGCCUUCUCAGGAGGCUUCCACCUCGAAUUUGGCAGGGAAACACGCUUCUCCAAGGCAGGAACAUGGAGGUUGCCAUUUGCAACCGCUACUACCUCACACAUGAGCUUGUCAACAUACUCAUAGCUCUUUCUGUCGUAUAAUUUUCUGUUUGGCCACAGUCUUCUUUAUGCUUUGAGAACUGGACUUUAUACCUUCC